rnacentral:rRNA from 1 species
UACAGAGGGUGCGAGCGUUGUCCGGAAUCACUGGGCGUAAAGGGCGCGUAGGCGGUUUUGUAAGUCGGGGGGUGAAAUGCUGCGGCUCAACCGCAGCGCUGCCUUCGAGACUGCAAGACUGGAGCACGGUAGAGGCGGAUGGAAUUCCCGGUGUAGCGGUGGAAUGCGUAGAGAUCGGGAAGAACACCAAUGGCGAAGGCAGUCCGCUGGGCCGUUGCUGACGCUGAGGCGCGACAGCGUGGGGAGCAAACGAG